GCUGGAGGUAUCAGAAGUGCGAAUGCUGACAUAAGUAACGAUAAAGCGGGUGAAAAGCCCGCUCGCCGGAAGACCAAGGGUUCCUGUCCAACGUUAAUCGGGGCAGGGUGAGUCGACCCCUAAGGCGAGGCCGAAAGGCGUAGUCGAUGGGAAACGGGUUAAUAUUCCCGUACUUGGUGUUACUGCGAAGGGGGGACGGAGAAGGCUAUGUUGGCCGGGCGACGGUUGUCCCGGUUUAAGCGUGUAGGUGUGUGUUCCAGGUAAAUCCGGUUCACUUUAACACUGAGGCGUGACGACGAGGCACUACGGUGCUGAAGCAACAAAUGCCCUGCUUCCAGGAAAAGCCUCUAAGCAUCAGGUAACAUCAAAUCGUACCCCAAACCGACACAGGUGGUCAGGUAGAGAAUACCAAGGCGCUUGAGAGAACUCGGGUGAAGGAACUAGGCAAAAUGGUGCCGUAACUUCGGGAGAAGGCACGCUGACACGUAGGUGAAGUGAUUUACUCAUGGAGCUGAAGUCAGUCGAAGAUACCAGCUGGCUGCAACUGUUUAUUAAAAACACAGCACUGUGCAAACACGAAAGUGGACGUAUACGGUGUGACGCCUGCCCGGUGCCGGAAGGUUAAUUGAUGGGGUCAGCGCAAGCGAAGCUCCUGAUCGAAGCCCCGGUAAACGGCGGCCGUAACUAUAACGGUCCUAAGGUAGCGAAAUUCCUUGUCGGGUAAGUUCCGACCUGCACGAAUGGCGUAAUGAUGGCCAGGCUGUCUCCACCCGAGACUCAGUGAAAUUGAACUCGCUGUGAAGAUGCAGUGUACCCGCGGCAAGACGGAAAGACCCCGUGAACCUUUACUAUAGCUUGACACUGAACAUUGAGCCUUGAUGUGUAGGAUAGGUGGGAGGCUUUGAAGUGUGGACGCCAGUCUGCAUGGAGCCGACCUUGAAAUACCACCCUUUAAUGUUUGAUGUUCUAACGUGGACCCGUAAUCCGGGUUGCGGACAGUGUCUGGUGGGUAGUUUGACUGGGGCGGUCUCCUCCUAAAGAGUAACGGAGGAGCACGAAGGUUGGCUAAUCCUGGUCGGACAUCAGGAGGUUAGUGCAAUGGCAUAAGCCAGCUUGACUGCGAGCGUGACGGCGCGAGCAGGUGCGAAAGCAGGUCAUAGUGAUCCGGUGGUUCUGAAUGGAAGGGCCAUCGCUCAACGGAUAAAAGGUACUCCGGGGAUAACAGGCUGAUACCGCCCAAGAGUUCAUAUCGACGGCGGUGUUUGGCACCUCGAUGUCGGCUCAUCACAUCCUGGGGCUGAAGUAGGUCCCAAGGGUAUGGCUGUUCGCCAUUUAAAGUGGUACGCGAGCUGGGUUUAGAACGUCGUGAGACAGUUCGGUCCCUAUCUGCCGUGGGCGCUGGAGAACUGAGGGGGGCUGCUCCUAGUACGAGAGGACCGGAGUGGACGCAUCACUGGUGUUCGGGUUGUCAUGCCAAUGGCACUGCCCGGUAGCUAAAUGCGGAAGAGAUAAGUGCUGAAAGCAUCUAAGCACGAAACUUGCCCCGAGAUGAGUUCUCCCUGAGACUUAGAGUCUCCUGAAGGAACGUUGAAGACGACGACGUUGAUAGGCCGGGUGUGUAAGCGCAGCGAUGCGUUGAGCUAACCGGUACUAAUGAACCGUGAGGCUUAACCUUACA
rnacentral:rRNA from 1 species